GUACGUAUAGUUUAACCAAAACAUUAGAUUGUGAGUCUAACAUUAGAAGAACAGUAACUUCUUACUUACC
rnacentral:tRNA from 1 species